CCGCACGCGCGCUACACUGAUACGUUCAUCGAGUUUUUACCUGGACCGAGAGGUUUGGGAAAUCUUUUCAAUGCGUAUCGUGAUGGGGAUAGAUUAUUGUAAUUAUUAAUCUUCAACGAGGAAUUCCUAGUAAACGCGAGUCAUCAGCUCGCAUUGAUUACGU
rnacentral:rRNA from 1 species